ensembl:snoRNA
GCUGGUGUACAUGAUGACUAAACUUUUUUCCCCAUCAGAGCGACAGUGCUGAUUUUUCACUGCUUUAGCCAGAUUCAGUCUGAUACACCAGC